rnacentral:rRNA from 1 species
ACGCUGGCGGCACGCCUAACACAUGCAAGUCGAACGCAGUAGCAAUACUGAGUGGCGAACGGGUGAGUAUAAUGUGGGUAUCUGCCUUUUGGUUUGGAAUAACACGAGGAAACUUGUGCUAAUACCGGAUAAGCCCUUACGGGGAAAGUUUUAACGCCGAAAGAUGAGCCCGCACUUGAUUAGCUAGUUGGUAAGGUAAUGGCUUACCAAGGCUACGAUCAAUAGCUGAUCUGAGAGGAUGAUCAGCCACAUUGGGACUGAGACACGGCCCAAACUCCUACGGGAGGCAGCAGUGGGGAAUCUUGCACAAUGGGGGAAACCCUGAUGCAGCGAUGCCGCGUGAGUGAAGAAGGCCCUUGGGUUGUAAAGCUCUUUCGUCGGGGAAGAAAAUGACUGUACCCGAAUAAGAAGGUCCGGCUAACUUCGUGCCAGCAGCCGCGGUAAUACGAAGGGACCUAGCGUAGUUCGGAAUUACUGGGCUUAAAGAGCACGUAGGUGGUUAGAAAAGUUGGUGGUGAAAUCCCAAGGCUUAACCUUGGAACUGCCAUCAAAACUUUUUAACUAGAGUGUGAUAGAGGUAAGCGGAAUUUCUAGUGUAGAGGUGAAAUUCGUAGAUAUUAGAAAGAACACCAAUUGCGAAGGCAGCUUUCUGGAUCACUACUGACACUGAGGUGCGAAAGCAUGGGUAGCGAAGAGGAUUAGAUACCCUCGUAGUCCAUGCUGUAAACGAUGUGUGCUAGACGUUGGAAAUUUAUUUUUCAGUGUCGCAGCAAAAGCGUUAAGCACACCGCCUGGGGAGUACGAC